UGAACCAAAUGGAAGUCUUAAACCGUUUGCUGUACACAUUUAAUCCUUUGAUCACUCAUCAUCUUUCAAAGAUCUAGAAUUAUUAACAACUAGUAUCGGUUUAAUUUACCUUGACAGGGUAACGUCUAGCAAGUGACAAAUCAGCAUAAUAAUUAAGCACACACUCCCGAUUCAUUCCUGGACAUUCUUCCUGUACAAUAUCACUGGUAGCAAUAUUAAAUAUAAAAUUUGUGAAACAUAAUAGAAUGAACAGACGAGGUCUGUUUCUGACCAUACUUGUUUAUGCCAGUAUAUUGUUUCUCUGAAACUUGAUAUAUUUAUUAUUUUAUUAGUCACGUUUGUCGUUUACACACCGUACUGAAACAGCCUCGUCCCUAUAUCUAUUCUGUGCUCGUACCCAGGCGCU